GUGUAUUUGCUUUGGCGACACAUCUACUAAAUUGGAACGAUACAGAAAAGAUCAGCGUGACCCCUGCGGAAGGAUGACACGCAAAAAAAGGAAAAGAAGCAUAGACUG